rnacentral:lncRNA from 1 species
GCUAAAGUGCAAAAUACUGCAGCUGAUACAAUGUCAUCAGAGGAGGUUCCUCAGAGCCCUUCGUUCUCCGAGAUGCAGGUAUUGCUUAACCACACAAUUACACUUCCUGCCAUAUCUGUAGUUUAGUUUUUAGUGUUUUUCUUUUCAGUCUGAAUUUGGUUUAUUUAGUCAAAUAUGAGCAUUGCACAAAACUGGAGAUCACAUUAGGUCUAAUACAAAGUAUUUUAAAGCUAAACCUAAAAUGUGUAGCACUCUUUGAUUUUUGAGUAUUCAUUCAUCAUUCAUUUGUGGCUAGUCUCUCACACACGUGGUGGGUGUCUUUCUGGGGACCAGUGAGAGUUGUAGUUUGCCUAGAUUUUAACCUCUGUAUCACACACACCUGUCAGGUCUGUAGUACUUGUGGGGUCCACGUUGGGUAAAUAAUAUUGUGUACAUUUCAUCUUUGUAACAUGAAUUUAUUGUCUUUAGUUUUAUUACACUUGAAUGCACAAUAUGGGCAAACAAACUUGAGCUUACUUCAGUUCAUCUUAGUCACACCAACUUUUUGUUUUGCCACUUUUCAGCUUUUCUUAUUCCUAAUUACAGUAGUUAAUUAGCAGACAUCGGUACCAAAUUGAACCUAUCAAAUGUAACUGAUUUGUUGUUGUAUAAAGAGACUGUAUUGAAGUUGCAUCGCCACUUGGGUGUCUGUUUCCUGUAGACAUGUGCUUCAUAUUAUGAUUGAUUCAUGCAAGUGUUAAUGCUGAUGUGCUAAAUACAGAUGUUGAAUUCAUUUGUCAGGCUAAAACACAAGAAACGGGCGCUGAUACACUGUCAUCAGAGGAGGUUCCUCAGAGCCCUUCCGUCUCCGAGAUGCAGGCUAAAACACAAGAAACUAGCGCUGAUACACUGUCAUCAGAGGAGGUUCCUCAGAGCCCUUCCGUCUCCGAGGUGCAGGCUAAAACACAAGAAACGGGCGCUAAUACACUGUCAUCAGAGGAGGUACCUCAGAGCCCUUCCCUCUCCCAUAUGCAGGCUAAAACACAAGAAACUAGCGCUGAUACACUGUCAUCAGAGGAGGUUCCUCAGAGCCCUUCCGUCUCCGAGGUGCAGGCUAAAACACAAGAAACGGGCGCUGAUACACUGUCAUCAGAGGAGGUACCUCAGAGCCCUUCCCUCUCCCAUAUGCAGAGAAUGUGGAUGUACAUGAGGACAAUGACAGUGGAGCAGCAUGUGGGUCAGGGUCACAAGAGAGUGUGGAUGUACUUGACGACAGCAUCAAUGGGGCAGCAUGUAAGUCACAAGAGUGUCUGGUUAAAUGUAAUCAGACUGAAGAUGGCAAGGCUACACUGA